rnacentral:lncRNA from 1 species
GAACAUGAUUAGGGUUUCUGUUAUGAAAAUCAUAGUAAUUUGCAGUGAUUUUGGUCUAAAAUGUAAUUGAGUUGUUUUGGCUUUAAUUUGUAUCAGUUUAGGGUUUAUUUUGGCUUUUUGUUAGGUAUGAUUUUACUUUGGUGUUUACUGUUUGUUUAUUUAAUUUUUUUAUGUGGCUGAUUUUGAGUUGGGCCAUGAGCUGAUUCUUCUCAUUUGCAGAUUAGGGGUUUUUGGGAAUUGAGAAGAGGGGUUUGGCGACAUGACGAUGAACGAGCGGAAAACGAUUGACUUAGAACAAGGAUGGGAGUUUAUGCAGAAGGGAAUUACAAAGUUGAAGAAUAUCCUGGAAGGGCUCCCCGAGCCACAAUU